GACGAACGCUGGCGGCGUGCUUAACACAUGCAAGUCGAACGGAAAGGCCCUGCUUUUGUGGGGUGCUCGAGUGGCGAACGGGUGAGUAACAAGUGAGUAACCUGCCCUUGACUUUGGGAUAACUUCAGGAAACUGGGGCUAAUACCGGAUAGGAGCUCCUGCUGCAUGGUGGGGGUUGGAAAGUUUCGGCGGUUGGGGAUGGACUCGCGGCUUAUCAGCUUGUUGGUGGGGUAGUGGCUUACCAAGGCUUUGACGGGUAGCCGGCAUGAGAGGGUGACCGGCCACAUUGGGACUGAGAUACGGCCCAGACUCCUACGGGAGGCAGCAGUGGGGAAUAUUGCACAAUGGGCGGAAGCCUGAUGCAGCAACGCCGCGUGCGGGAUGACGGCCUUCGGGUUGUAAACCGCUUUCGCCUGUGACGAAGCGUGAGUGACGGUAAUGGGUAAAGAAGCACCGGCUAACUACGUG
rnacentral:rRNA from 1 species